rnacentral:lncRNA from 1 species
CUGACGGCCCCGCGGGCCGGGCUUUCCUCGGGCGCAGCGCGCGGCCCGGGCGCCCCAGCGAUGGCGUGUCCCGGGGGCCGGCGGGCAUGACGGCGGCAGGAUGGGCGCGAACAAUGGCAAGCAGUACGGCAGCGAGGGCAAAGGCAGCUCAAGCAUCUCAUCCGACGUGAGUUCAAGUACAGAUCACACGCCGACCAAAGCACAGAAGAAUGUGGCUACCAGCGAAGGCUCACAAAAUGUUGUUUACAAAUAGAUCAGCAGGACUCCAGGAUGGGCCCCUAGAAGGGCUCCUAGAACAUACCAGCACCACAUACGAGUCAGCAGUCAGUCUUUGUUAUGUGAAUCAACCUGAUUGGUAUGGACAGACUUUCCACCGAGACCUCCGUGGACUGCAGCAGGCUUGGUCAUAUAAAUUAUCAGCAUUUACUUUGGAAUUCGCCAUAAAUCAGCAAUCAUUUGAAUGUUGCAUUGUCAGUAGGUCCUGGAAUGGGAUGUUAGUUCCUUUAAAAAAGCAAUGGAGUCAAAAUAUGCACUAUCUUCAAAAUAUUAAAUUUUAUCUUACAUAUCAACUGAAGGUUUCUUUGUGUAUUUUUUGAACUUUAAGAACUAGAUGUUUUUUUCA